rnacentral:rRNA from 1 species
UUGAACGCUGGCGGCAGGCUUAACACAUGCAAGUCGAGCGGGGUGAUGUACUUCGGUACUGAUCCUAGCGGCGGACGGGUGAGUAAUGCUUAGGAAUCUGCCAUUUAGUGGGGGACAACAUUCCGAAAGGAAUGCUAAUACCGCAUACGUCCUACGGGAGAAAGCAGGGGAUCUUCGGACCUUGCGCUAAAUGAUGAGCCUAAGUCGGAUUAGCUAGUUGGUGGGGUAAAGGCCUACCAAGGCGACGAUCUGUAGCGGGUCUGAGAGGAUGAUCCGCCACACUGGGACUGAGACACGGCCCAGACUCCUACGGGAGGCAGCAGUGGGGAAUAUUGGACAAUGGGCGGAAGCCUGAUCCAGCCAUGCCGCGUGUGUGAAGAAGGCCUUUUGGUUGUAAAGCACUUUAAGCGAGGAGGAGGCUACCUGGAUUAAUACUCUGGGAUAGUGGACGUUACUCGCAGAAUAAGCACCGGCUAACUCUGUGCCAGCAGCCGCGGUAAUACAGAGGGUGCGAGCGUUAAUCGGAUUUACUGGGCGUAAAGCGUGCGUAGGCGGCUGAUUAAGUCGGAUGUGAAAUCCCUGAGCUUAACUUAGGAAUUGCAUUCGAUACUGGUCAGCUAGAGUAUGGGAGAGGAUGGUAGAAUUCCAGGUGUAGCGGUGAAAUGCGUAGAGAUCUGGAGGAAUACCGAUGGCGAAGGCAGCCAUCUGGCCUAAUACUGACGCUGAGGUACGAAAGCAUGGGGAGCAAACAGGAUUAGAUACCCUGGUAGUCCAUGCCGUAAACGAUGUCUACUAGCCGUUGGGGCCUUUGAGGCUUUAGUGGCGCAGCUAACGCGAUAAGUAGACCGCCUGGGGAGUACGGUCGCAAGACUAAAACUCAA